GUCAGAGAUUGCUGUCCCCGCAGAAGGCGCCAUCUAGUGGACGCAGGCAUGCUGACAUUCAUACAACUUGAUGACAUUGUUUUAGAGAGAGAAACUAAACCUGAAGCAACAAGGAGACCUCAGCUUAACAAAUGUGAGUUGAAUAACUGAGAAAAGAAAUGAGAAGUGGCAGAGAAAAGAAGGAGG